AACGCUGGCGGCGUGCCNAAUACAUGCAAGUCGAACGAGGUGCUUUUGUAGCAAUACGAGGGUAUCCUAGUGGCGAACGGGUGAGUAACGCGUUGGUGACCUGCCCCGAAGUGUGGGAUAACAGUUCGAAAGGACUGCUAAUACCGCAUGUGGUCAUCGGAUUUAGAAACCGAUGUCUAAAGCAGCAAUGCGCUUUGGGAGGGACCUGCGUCCCAUCAGCUAGUUGGUGAGGUAACGGCUCACCAAGGCGACGACGGGUAGGGGACCUGAGAGGGUGGCCCCCCACAAUGGAACUGAAACACGGUCCAUACUCCUACGGGAGGCAGCAGU
rnacentral:rRNA from 1 species